rnacentral:rRNA from 1 species
UACGUAGGUGUCAAGCGUUGUCCGGAUUUAUUGGGCGUAAAGCGCCCGCAGGCGGCUUGCCAAGUUCGAUGUGAAAUCUCCCGGCUCAACUGGGAGGGUGCAUCGAAAACUGGCAGGCUUGAGGCAGGGAGAGGGAUGUGGAAUUCCAGGUGUAGUGGUGAAAUGCGUAGAUAUCUGGAGGAACACCGGUGGCGAAGGCGGCAUCCUGGACCGGUAUUGACGCUGACGCGCGAAAGCCAGGGGAGCAAACGGG